rnacentral:tRNA from 1 species
UCCCUGGUGGCUCAGACAGUAAAAUCAUCUGCCUACAAUGCAGGAGAUCCAGGUUCGAUCCCUGGGUUGGGAA